UUAUCUUACCUGUUUUGUCCCUGGACUUUCUGACCAUCUUCCUUGUGUUCACUCAGCCUACAGAUUUGGUACCUGGAUUUCUGUCCAUGGUGAUUUCUGUCACCUUACUACUGAAGAAGAUACCAUUCCAGUGGACCACUGUGACCCAAGGGACAUUCAACCAUCAUGAUGUGGUCUUCACCUCCAUUCCUGUCCUCCUCUACCCAGAUUGAGCACCAUCCUUUA
rfam:Myotis lucifugus cont2.50781, whole genome shotgun sequence.